rnacentral:pre_miRNA from 1 species
AGUGGGAUAACUGGGUCAAAUAGUGGUUCUAUUUUUUGAGGAAUCUCCAUACUGCUUUCCAGAGCGGGUGCACCAAUUUGCAGUCCUACCAACAAU